rnacentral:tRNA from 1 species
UGUAACGUAGUCAAGCGGUUAAGACAGCAGGCUUUGACCCUGCUAUUCGCUGGUUCGAAUCCAGCCGUUACAACCA